CUUCCCCGCGGCCGGGCAGAGCUGCCAGGCCCGCGCAGGCCUCUCGGAGCAAUCUUUUCCUAAUAAAGAGCCUAAUCGAAACGCUCCUUCCCCCGCCUCGGCGGGAAGGGCCGCGGAAGAGGCUGCGGAGGUGCAGAGCCGCCGCGGAUCGAUGGAGAGAAGCCCGGAUUGAUCGGCCUCUAAAAUUAAAUUUAUUGGGGUCAUGGUUUUAUAUGGUGCUGAUACAACUGUUAAAUGGGGAACAUUCAUUUCCAAUAGGAGGCGUUUAUUAAACUUCCACUGAAUUAGA